rnacentral:rRNA from 1 species
AUUGAACGCUGGCGGCAGGCCUAACACAUGCAAGUCGCACGAGUGGCGGACGGGUGAGUAAUGUCUGGGAAACUGCCUGAUGGAGGGGGAUAACUACUGGAAACGGUAGCUAAUACCGCAUACCCUCGGAUGUGCCCAGAUGGGAUUAGCUAGUUGGUGGGGUAAAGGCUCACCAAGGCGACGCUCCCUAGCUGGUCUGAGAGGAUGACCAGCCACACUGGAACUGGGACACGGUCCAGACUCCUACGGGAGGCAGCAGUGGGGAAUAUUGCACAAUGGGCUCAAGCCUGAUGCAGCCAUGCCGCGUGUAUGAAGAAGGCCUUCGGGUUGUAAAGUACUUUCAGCGGGGAGGCGUUACCCGCAGAAGAAGCACCGGCUAACUCCGUGCCAGCAGCCGCGGUAAUUC